CGUAGGGGGCAAGCGUUGUCCGGAUUUAUUGGGCGUAAAGCGCGUGUAGGCGGCCAGAAAAGUCCGCUGUGAAAACUCGAGGCUCAACUUCGAGCUGUCGGUGGAAACUUUCUGGCUAGAGUCCGGAAGAGGAGAAUGGAAUUCCUGGUGUAGCGGUGAAAUGCGCAGAUAUCAGGAAGAACACCCGUGGCGAAGGCGGUUCUCUGGGACGGUACUGACGCUGAGACGCGAAAGCGUGGGGAGCGAACAGGAUUAGAUACCCUGGUAGUCCACGCCGUAAACGAUGGGUGCUAGGUGUGGGCGGUGUCGACUCCGUCCGUGCCGAAGCUAACGCAUUAAGCACCCCGCCUGGGGAGUACGGCCGCAAGGCUA
rnacentral:rRNA from 1 species